CUUUAAGCUCCAGUUCUCUAUACACUGUUCUGUUUGCACCAUUUGCUUGACAUGACUGUCUGCUCUGGGUUGAUGGUGUUUUUCUAGAAUUCCUGUGUGAACAGAAGCUAAUAAAGGAACUGUCAACUCAGAAAGCCCCUCUUAAAAUACAGUUCUACUGGCUUGGGGUAAGAAAUGCACAGAUCCCUUGGCCAAACCUCCUCUGUGGAAUUUGUAAUCCUAUUGCAAUUCCUUUGGUUUCCAGUAGCCAAACAAACCCUGGGGUCAAGCAGAAGUCAAGGUAUAAAAAUGGAUGGCUCUGAGCCUCCUUACCUGUUAGCUGCCAUGUGUUAGAGGGAUGAUGUGGACUGCAGCAGUUCUGUUCCCUCUCCUGGUGAGUGUUUGGGUGCAUAAUUCAAAUGUGUGUGUGUGUUUGAAUUCCAGCUUUCAUUGAUUGAAUUGGUCUCUGAUAAUAAACAGUAUAAAUAAAUCAGGUGGGAGUUAAAGCAUUGGGGAGGGGAAGAUUAAAUUCAGUGCAGUGACCUCGAGGAGAAUGUAAUUUCAAAAGUGCCUUAAAUAUGCUGAUGGCAUAAAAUAAGGCUGAGGAAGUUGGAGGGGCAGGAGAGUCGGGGAGAGAGGAAUAAAACAAAAUUAUUUGGAUUUAUCAGGAUUACAGGCAGAUAUGGUUUAUGCAGUUUAUUGUAGGGGAGUGUCAGUCACGAGGCCAGGGACCAAAAGUGAUCGGAGAGCAGUGGGAAUGAGGGCGGUGUGGAUAUGGAUCUGAGCAUGUGCAGCACCAGGGGAAGGCUCUUCCUGGGAGCAAACCAAGCAAAGCAGGGAGGAGGAUGGGGGGAUACAGCCAUGCCAGCAGGAAUUACAGGGACAGUCAGGCCUUGUCUGUUGAUGUAAAAAAUGCAGGAAUCCUCUCAGGCUGGUUUGAUGAAGCAAAAACAUUCUGGCUGUUGCAGACGAAAAGAGGAGAAUCCAGCUUUUGAUGUUACAGGAAACAUGAUCUGUAACUGAGCUGCCUAAUAGUUCAUAGUUAGUUCAUCACACUGACUUCAGACUAGAAAAAUAAAAAAAUGCUUUGUUUUGGACUGAUGAGCACCCUGACAGCCACAGGAAAGCAAAGAAAUUGGUGAAUCCUUCCAGUUGGCUCAUGUAGAGGUAGAUCCUGUGGGUUUGAAAGUACUUGUUUUCUUCUGGUUUUCUUUCCUUCUUUUUAGUUGUUUUAAUUUUUUAAAUAUUUGAUUUGUCCCUUAAAUUGUAACCUUUUUUUCAGUUGUGGCCAAGUAGCUUUUGAAACCCAGUCAAAGGCAGAAGCACUAAAAGGAGAGCUCUGUGCAUGGAAGUCCAUCCAUGUCCUUGCAGCUUCUGUUGUUCUGUCAGAUACCAUAUUAACUGUCCUUGUUUAAAAGUGCUUUCUCUACCUUGACCCAUAUCUCUAAAUGUCACUUUUAUACAUCUUUUCCUCAGAAGAAAUUAGAUAUUUGAAAAUAUAAUCUUCCUGUCUUACCUUUUAGCACCCCAAUUUAUGUCCAGAAAGAUUCCCAAUAGUUGAUAAUUUCCAGUAUCUUAACACCUAGGGCAUAGCAAUAACACACAGACUUCUCUUUUCCUUUGAGUCCUCCCUGCUUGGUGCUGCAUCACAUGAAAUCCAUUACUGUUUGGAAGCCACAGCUUCAGUUUGCCAUAGCUGAGUAAGACAGUGAGGAGCUACAGGGAAAACUGAACUGGGAAGGGCAGAAGCGAAAGCAAGUCACAAACAACUUAAUUUCCUACCUAAUCCUCGUGUGAUAUCAGAAUUAAAUCACAGGGACUGGUGAAAGAAUCCUUGGGGAAGCAAGAGAUGCACUUGGAAUUUUCCCUUUUCUGAGUGUCUUCAGGGUUUUGUGGCCUCUCACUGAUGUGCUGCCCAGCUGAGUGUCCCUGCCCAGGAUUCUGGGAGCAGGCUGGAUGUGCUCUGAAAUGUUCUCUACCCCCACCAGACACGGAUCUUCCUGUGGCUGCUUCUCUUGUUCCAACAGUGGUGACAGAAGGCUGACCUCCACGUUCCUGUUAUCCCUCAGUUCUCCACAGCAAACAGUCAGCAGUAGCUGGAAUCUGCAUCCUUGGAGUUCUGUUGUCAGUUUGGGCUGUUGUCACACACUUAGCUAAUACCCUCCAGUAAUUUUAUUUCUUAUUCACAUGCACACUUAAUGUCCUUCGUCAUUAGACUGAAAAAUGUUAACCUUGUCAUAGUUAGUGACUGGAAGCAGAAAAGUCCUUUUAAUUCUCAGGGGAAUGAAUUCUAAUUUUCUGCUUGUCAGAAAGUGACAUUUUACAUAUUUUUCUCUUUUUUUCCUUCACCAGUUUAGUGCUAAAUUUAAAUGUGUGUGUCAUAGGAACAGACCUUUAGUCUGUGCUAAACACCCCAAAAGCCUUGGCAGGUGUCCAGUGCAUGAGAGCCUUGACCAAGAGCUGCUGCUAAAGCUCAUUUGAUGCACUGCAGAGAAGGGGAGGUGAGGCUGGGAAGUUGGAGAUAAGGGGUUAUCUCAGAGGGCACAUUAACAUUGCAUGUCAGGAUGCAUUUUUUUUUUUCCCCUAGAAAAUAUGGAUGGAUGAAAAGCAGCUCAUCUGGAAUAAAAUGUCCAGUGAAGAAACAAAUUAUGUUAAUCAAGCAGACUAGUAUUAGUAUUUGUCAUAAAGAUGUGACACCUUCUAUUUAAUGUCACAAACUACUGGGAGCCUUUGAAAAAUGUACUGGUGGGAAGGAAAGUUCUCUGCAGAUACUGAGUUCACUGUUCUAUGAAAGGGAAUAACUUGUCUUGAAAAUUAGAUGGCAUUUAUGGCAAAGAGAAAUAAUCCUCCCACAGAUUACAGCUGUUCACUGCAUUGUUGUGCUGGUGGUCUUACCUCAUCAGUGGAUAUUUUAUAAGGAUCUUUCCUUUUUUUCUUUUUAUUUUUUUUUUUUUGAUACAUUUCCAUAAGCCUGUUCUGAGGAGGACAUUGUGUGCUGGGAGCUGGGUGUAUUUUGAGAAAGGGACACCACUACAAAGAACUCUUGAGUCUAAAUUGCAAAGAUGGGUGAAGUAAAAAUGAGGGAUGGUUAUUUUGCUUUUUACAGAUGGGAGCUGAAGCAGAGGAGGUGACUGUUGUGGCCAAAGUCACCCUGGGAGUCCGUGGAAUUGCAUCCUGAUCUUUGAAGUACAGUUCCAGUGUUUUACCAGAUAUUGUCUCUCUGUUCCCUUGCUGAUGAAUGUGGACUUAAUAUGCACAUGUGUGAUGAGCCAAACAUGUUCUGCAUGUGUUGAGCCAAAUUCUGACCUGAGGCCAUGAGGGGAGCGCUCCCUGGGCUGGCCAGGAGCGUUUGCAGGGCUGGGCUCAGCCCAAGGACUGCACAGUGCUGGCAUUUCUAAAGCCCCUCCUGGGCUGAACUUUGCUCCCCCUGCCUGUUUGGUGUUUGAGCCAACUCGGGGUUCUUGGGAAUUCUGGAGAAGUGCUGGCAGGGUGCUGGGUGAGGCACUGCCUGGCUCCUUGUCCGACCUCUUGCACUGCCUGCACACCAGAUGCUGAUUAAUGAUUAGCAUGUAACUAAUUUAUAAAUCAAUGCCACAAACAAAUAAACCAUCCAUUACAGUGACUUGCCAAGUCUCUCCCUUCUGGGAGAGAAGGGAGACUUGCAGGCAUUCCCCCCUUCUCUGUACAAAGGUGCCUCUGGACUGUGCCGUCUCGACACCUGGCAGAUCUGCUGUGUGGAUGAGAUUCAUUGUAUUCCACAGGGAAGGCUGAGGUCAACCAGGUGACCAAACUGACCUAUUGGAACCCGAGGGACAGGACAAGCUCUGCAGUCUGGCUGUCACUGGGGACUGCUUUUAAGGAUGAGAAUGUUGUGUCUGACGCGUGUCAGCAAGCAAAGGAGACUCACUAGCAGAGCUGGGUCCGUCUUGCUCCCCGGUGAGGAAUAAAAGCAUGAACCGUCUCUCACUUCGGGAGGAGAAGGGGGGGCUGUUUCCAGGCUGCGGGAAGUGCGAAGGCAUUGUCAGGUUUGGGUCAGGCGGAGCCGGGGCUGUGCUGAGCUCUCAGCAGGACCCAUCAGCCGGGUGUCACUCGGCAGCCUGGAGGCAUCUCCGGGAAAAGCCAAGACAGAAGUGUGGGGGGCGAAGCUGCCGUGUCUUGUGGUGGUGCAAGACUGUUCUCUGUAACAAUGAUCUUUGUGGAAAGCAGGCACAAAAAUGGAUAAAAGAAUAAAGAGCCUUUAUCAAGGAAGCAGAGAAAGAAAAUGGCCACUUCUACACUCCCCACAGUUAAAUGCUAAAUAAUGCUGUUAUCAGAGCUGUUGUGCCCACAUUUAAUCCCAGCCUGGUACCUGCAAGGCCUGAUCCUGCCCUCAGCUGCAUCCAGGGAAUCUGGUGUCAGUGGGGCCGCUGCACUGAAAAGGAUGGGUAGGGAAUGAAGAACUCUGUUCUGUUUAGUUCUUCAUGGUUGCAUCUAGUUUUGUGCUUUGAAGUUCUCAGAUUUAUUUCAAUCUUCAGGUUUAUUUUCACUUCUUUAGGGAAGCAGAUAAAGCAGGGAGGGGGAAAUAUGAGGGACGGGGCCAAAUUCAAAGUGGAGUCACUUGGGCAACAUGAAAAACCUGCAACCCCAAGGUGUAAUUUCCAUUGGUAAAACCAUGUUGAACCAACUAAUUGCUUCAAAAUUACAGCCAGAUUUCAACUUUGUAACUGCAGAGUGCAGCUCACCUAAACCAGGACAAGGGUAUCACAUGAGGGAGCUUGGAAGAGAACCUCGUGAGCUGCCUCACAGGAAAAAUGGUAAAACUG